rnacentral:rRNA from 1 species
AUGCAACUUAGUAUUAUGAGGAGGCUAAAGCCAACAUAUAUACAUGUACAAGCCCCAAUAUGCUUGGUAGGCUCAUGCUUCACAGGAUCCCGCACAAUAUUGAUAGCACUUGUACUGUCUGACAAGAGGGUAGUAGGUGUAGUAACAGAAACACCAAAAUCCUCAAGCAACCAUCGUAACCAGGUCACCUCUGCCGUCAAUAGAGCCAUAGCUCGCAACUCAGCCUCUGCACUCGAACGGGAAACUGCAGUUUGUUUCUUUGUCUUCCAAGCAAUGAGAGAACCGCCAAGAAAAACACAGUAA